GGCCGAUGAUGACAACGAAGACGAGGAUGACGACGAUGAUAACAACGACAUUCAACGAAUGUCGGCAUUGUCAGCAUCGUCGUCACCCUCUUCUUCGUUGUCUAAA
rnacentral:pre_miRNA from 1 species